UCUGAGAUGCAGUUGUGCCUGAUA
rnacentral:piRNA from 2 species